AGUUGGCACUCCAAUAAAGCUUCUAGGUCGUGAUGAUGUUAGCGUGGAUUGGUAUAUUCUUGAAAAUUCCAAGACGGUGAAGGCGUUUCGUUGUGGAGAGUAUGAUACUUGCAUUGAGAAGGCAAAGGCUGCUGCAGCAGCGAGCUCUGCUAAU